rnacentral:rRNA from 1 species
GACGAACGCUGGCGGCGUGCCUAAUACAUGCAAGUCGAACGAAGCUGUUUAACUGGUGCUUGCACCGACUUAAACAACUGAGUGGCGAACGGGUGAGUAACACGUGGGUAACCUGCCCCAAAGCGGGGGAUAACAUUUGGAAACAGAUGCUAAUACCGCAUAACCACAGAAACCACAUGGUUUCUGUGUCAAAGAUGGUUUCGGCUAUCACUUUGGGAUGGACCCGCGGCGUAUUAGCUAGUUGGUAAGGUAAUGGCUUACCAAGGCAAUGAUACGUAGCCGAACUGAGAGGUUGAUCGGCCACAUUGGGACUGAGACACGGCCCAAACUCCUACGGGAGGCAGCAGUAGGGAAUCUUCCACAAUGGACGAAAGUCUGAUGGAGCAACGCCGCGUGAGUGAAGAAGGUUUUCGGAUCGUAAAACUCUGUUGUCAGAGAAGAACGUGUGCGAGAGUAACUGCUCGUGCAGUGACGGUAUCUGGCCAGAAAGCCACGGCUAACUACGUGCCAGCAGCCACAGUAA